UGACAAGCCACUUCGUUGAGCUAUCAUUUGUGGCCCGAUCGCUUCUAUUUAAGAGCUAUAUAGCUCAGUGGGUCUUACCUGGUAAAAUAAAAUAGUAUCGUUUAAAACAAGAUGGUUUGCAGUUAGCUGCACAUGCCCAGUGGUAUUGGCAGUAGGCGGUGGAUGAACAGACCUUCCUGAGAAUAGUUCACGAUUAAAAUUUCCACUUAUUAUUAUGGGCAGACACGUCGCCACCGUUGGAGACGGUUCUUACGCCACGCUGAAAAAAAUAGUUGAAAUGUUUCUCGGCUUGCUGUGCUGUGGAGAACAGCACAAAUUAGGUUCAUACCGAUCGCACCACCGUCGGCUUACGUUUUUAAAUGAAAGUGCGCAUGGCUCUUGUGAAACGCGGCUGCCGUUGCUGCAUCGGCGGUUGUCUUGGUUGUGUCGAUGUUGCGAGGCUGUUGAGGUGUAAGGAGUAAGCCGCAUCGCUAUUUGCUGGUUAAGGGCUCUUUAUUUCUGCUUAAUUUAACGCUGCUAUUAACUUGGUGGUAAUGACACCAACAGUUUGGAAUAAUGCUACAGAAACACUGCCGACAUGAAUUCAAGCCAUGCUGUUUGUGGCAUUUUAAUCAGCGGGCUUCAGCAUUAAAAUGAAGAAUAAAUGCAUCAAAUGGCAGGAAUCUUUCUGGAUUACCCACUAAGUUGCAUUCCAUAGCCCUCUGUGCACGUUGACCAUAGCAUAUUAGAAAUAAGUUCACCCUUCGACAACAGAAUUGCAAGAGAUCUGACCUUUAGAGUGUGUGGUGAUUAUCCAGCUGGUGUCUUGCAGGGCAUGACAAGACACAUAUGUACACUACAUAUAUACACAGUAAUACAUAUUCUUUGGGUCUUUCGGUAAAGUCACGUCGAUGGGUUCAAAGAAAAUAACAAAACACUUCAGAAAGACGACCGCUUGUGUUGCGAUCAAAACGUCGUAGUUUUUUGUUUUUUUAACCUAUCUACGUGACUUUACCGAAAGACCCAAAUAAUAUGAAUUCCUGCAGUCACAAAAGCUUUAAGUUAACACAGUAAUACAGUUGAGUACAAUUUGUAUUAAAUAGUGCAUCUCAAGAUCCCACACCUAAACACUGUGCAUGUUUAUUUUGUAGAGAGAGGCAGUAAGUCAUUGGUAGAUGGAACAAAACAUUUGAUUAUUGAGCCUAGGAUUAAACGGGUUCAGGGAGCCCACAGCAUGAUUGGCAGGGGGAAGGGAGUCAAACUAAACUAAAAACUAAACGAAAAACUAAACUUUUUUUUUAUUUUACCAGGUAAGGCCCACUGAGCUAUGUAGCUCUUAUUCAGAAGCAACCUGGCUAUCAUGUGGAAAUUUACAGCAGCCAAAUACUCUAAGCGGAUGUUUCUAAAUAAUGGAGGGAAAAUGAGCAGCAUAUACAGUGUCCAUUGUCAGAUGAUAACAGCAGAGAUCCUAGUCAGUGACAGUCAGUUCAUGUUUUCAUAUGAACCCCAGUGUAGGUCAUUGAGAAAUGAAUACAGAGCAGUUUUGGGCAUUGGCAGAUAUGACUGCAGUAGCUCAGCAAUGGGGAUUUUUCGUGGGUAGAUGUGAAAGGGGACUGUGUCACAUGACCAUCAGACAGACCUGUGUGUCUGCAUCCAUUAUAUAAACAUAUAGUGUGUACGCUGUAGAUUUUCAAUAUUUGUGUACGUGUCAUGACAUGUUUGCUAUGUGGGCCUCACUUGAGGGCCUGGGCGACAAAGAAAUCUAAAAUAACAUACAAAUAUAUGUUUUCAAUGUCACAUUAGCUUCGUAAAGUUACAUAAUCAUACGUAUGUAGCAUAAAAAUCACAAUGCUGUAACAUGUAUCUGUGUUAACAAAUCCGGCAAUUUUUACUGCUUGUAAUCCGGCCAUCUAUCCCAGCGGGUACACGUGACCCGACUCUUACUCUGCUUGCGUACGAGGUGGACACUUCCAAAACCGAAAAAUCUCCAGCUGUGCACAAACCCAAGCGCACAGCCGAAUCUGGGAGCAGCGCGGCCAUUUGAAUGAUCGCACUAGACCGCGGCAAGGUAAGGUAAAAGGUAAAAACAACGAGCCUACCUUUACCUUACCUUUUACCUUACCACGAUCAAAUUACCCGAUUUACAGGGUAAUUAACGGGGUACUACACAUGAAAAAGGUUUAUAAUAGGUAAAUGCUAAGUAGAGCGCUUUAUUCACCGCCCUCCAUAACCUCAUCCCAGUCGUCUUGGUUGAUGACUAUCUCAUUAACAACCUGAUCAAGUUCGUCAUUGCCGUCGUCCUCGGAUGAAUGACAGGCAAUAAGAUCCUGCGCCGCUCCGGCCCAUUUAGACAGGACCUUGAGGCAGCUGGCCGCAAUCCAUGAGUGCAAGCACAUGGACUGGAUGAAGAGCGUCAACGACAGCGACUGGCAAACACGUGUGAACUCCCGCCCGGCUCCGCUAUUCGCGCGUUCGCAGGGAGUUGAUCUCACUGGCGCUCUAAAGUAGUCGCAGGCCAUCUUGUCGUGGGCGGGGAGCAGCUCUUUGCGGGGAGACCAUCACUGCAUUACGUCAAUGAAGGCGCUGGCGGUCUGACGCCCAUGCUCAGAAAACGAUCGACUUCAUCGCCGUCAUCGAUGGAGCUGCCGACGUUGCUGAACAGGGCGCUGAACAGCGACCCCUCCGCCAUAUGGGCAGCGACUGCCGUCGGCGGGAUCGCGAGCACGGCCGAGUAGCGAUGCUGCAGGACAGAGCGGAUCAUGGCCUUCAGUGUAGCCAGCUCGUCUUGGUCUGACGUUUUCGGCAGCUGUGGAUUCACCGCAAUCGCAAUGACGGCACGAGAUCCAAUGUCGACUUGCGGUCUGCCGCCAACGAGGUCAUGACCUGGCGCGGCAUUCGCAGGAAUGCUGUCACGCCCUCGAUGUUUUGCUUCUGCAGUUCAGAGAAAACACCGACGCCGAUCACAUCCUGGAAGCGUGAUGAUGGCAUCGUCUCCCAUGUCAACCGUCGAAUUCCACCUGGUCGGCAAGUCCUGCUGGGUCGGCUCCCUUGCUGGCGAGCUUGGCGAUCUCGGCCUCGCGGCGGUACGACUGCCGGACGACCUUGCUGCGCCUGAUAUGGACGGGCGCCUCGCGCAGUUCGGCGUUGGUCAACUUGAUCAGUUUGAGAACUUGGACAAUGCCGAUCUGGACCGAAUGAUCCGCGCAGCGAAUAUAGUGGCAAGCCCGCAACUUCUCAUAUCCGGCGUCCGCGUUGACAGUACUGAUUGCAUCGGAGCCAGUGUCGCUGGUGACAGCGAGCAGCUUCGUCGAGACAUCAUGCCCGAGGCUUUGGAGGUGCUCAAACAGAGCAGUGCCAAUGCGCUUGCCGACACCCCUUCCGGACUGCACAUCGAGGAUCGUCAGCAGCAUGGAUUUCGACGCACCAGAUUUGGUGUCGAUCCAGUGCACCGUGCCAAUCCAAAAUCCCUUCAGGUUGCGGCUCAACCACUCAUCGAUGGUGAGCGAAAUGGCGACAUCCAGGUUGGAGAAGAACGCCCUGACGAUGGGCAGCAUGAUGGCGUGUUGCUCGACAAUCCUGCGAAUGACAGUGCGGGUCGACGGGCCCUCGUAUCCCUGCAUCAAUGUGUGGACCAAGGUCUUGAACUUGUCGCUGUCGAUGGCUCAUAAAGAGAUUGCACCGUGGAUAACAAAAUCAACCACCGCGUUCUCAAACUUUACCAGGAGGCGAUCCGGGAUUGCUGGCCGGCUCAGCGUUUGCUGCAUUAGGCGGCUCGCCGAUGCCGACGUCCCGACCUCGCUGCCUGGGGAGAGCACGUUGUGCUUCUUGAGGUGGGCUUUCCACCUCGACGUGUUCGUGUGGGAGGAAAGCCUCCGAUUCGCGCCGUUCGCUACGUACGCUGCCAAAGAGAUUCAACAUGCACACGUACAGCCAUAGGAGCCGGGACCCCCUUUUCUGACCGUAGUGCAGCGCGAAGGCCGAGAGCGUUGUGCGCGCAGGAAUGUGUUGCAGGGCAGCUGUGUCCGCGGUGAACAGAGCCUCCUCUGUUGGGAGAAUGCCGCUGAGCUCUGAAGGUUUUGGUCACCGUCACGACGGGUUCUCUCCAACUAAGAAUCCCACCGGGAACACAAAGCGAGGAAACGGAAAGGAAAAGAAAACCCCGAGUCAGUUGCUGGAACUUGGAGGCACAGAUUAACGUUUCACGCUGUGUUCUCGAGGGUGAAUAGUUUGUUUUGUUCCCUUAUGGGGUUUUUUUCCAGACCUUUGCAAAAUAGUGCAUUCGUUAACAAGAAAGGUCUAGUGAGUAAAAAAAAUAUAUAAAAAGACGAUGUACUUAGCAGGGUGGUUAAUGGGAUGGAAUGCUUUCAAUGGUCAUUUGUUCAUGGCUGAGCUUUAAAAGUGCAAAGUCUGAAAACGACUUUAGAACAGAAUUGACAUGCUUUAUCCCAAUUUCAUUUGGAAAAAAAAAAAAUAAGUCUCCUUCUCUGAUAAUAACAAAAAAACCAACUUGAUUAAAUGUUACACGUGGGCCGUUACCAUAAAACCAGUAACGGCAAUGAAGUCGCAUUUCAUCACGUGCGUCUUCAACUCAAAGCGGCGGUAAUAACACACCCCGAGCGCGCGAGCACACGCCGCCGAAAUUGGCAGCGGGCAAUGAACAAUAUUCCUGCAUAGAGAAAGCCUCACAAGCUGAGCACUUCAGGCACUUCGUGUAAGCCACCUUCUGCCGCGCAAGCGCAGAGGGCCGGGAGAGUCUUUCCCGCCAACUCGUGGGGCCAUGCACCGCGGGCGCUUCCACUCCACCAGCCUCAGUGAGCCACUUCUCAUUCAAGGCAAACCCAGCGAUGUCCACAUUCACGAUGGCGAUGAACUGAGUUGCCGUCUUUCGUGUCUCCAAAGGGGGCCGCUUUACGUUUGACGGCCCCGCGCAAAUGUGCGUGGCGCGUCGGCGUCGCGCGGUCUCCCCGCGCGAGAUUACAAGUGUUGCAGCAUGAAAGCUGCUUUGGUAAUGGUCGUUGUGGCUGCCGUUUUAUGCGUGUUGAGGAGGAUUUAAAUGGCAAAAUAACAACGUGCCAACGCAGCGGAGCCAGCGGGGGUUGCCAGGGAGCUUAGACAACAAUCUGCGGAACACGUGGAUGAAUGAGAGCGGACCGAGCAAGGAACGUCUCACUUGCGCUUAAUUGCAAGGAAGACGUUACGGUCAAACAUGUACACAAUCCGUCAUGUAACUGCAACACACUUCCCUGAUCACAAGCGAUGAUUUGUUUCAACGUUUAUGGUGACCGCUUCGAUUUUAAAGAAGUUAAUGCAUUUAGAAUGUUUUGUCACGCGGCAAAUGAAAUGUAACCGUUUAAUUGUGGCUCUUACUAAUACAGCAGUGUAAAUAUAAUGCAUACUGAGCGUAUGCCUUUGGACAUAUUGCUGACAGUUCGUGUGCAUGCGCGAAUGCUGUUGCUAAUCGCCAGGAAUCUUACUGAAUCGGUAACAAACAUUUUGACCAAUAGGCCAGAACCAUGGAGACCCCCAGGUCAGGGCUAUUGGGAAAUAAAUAUAUUGGCCAUCUGCUGCGUGUCAGAUAACAGCACAAAAAAAUCCUUACGUAUAAACAUUAGAGUUCACGGCCAUGAAUGUGCUUUUACUGAUAAUGCCAUGAUGUAAUUAUAGAUAAUGUCUGCAGCUUGCUUUUCACGUGUGAGAAAUGCAGAACGUGCCACUUAAUGGCAGUGGUAGCUCGCAGAAGCGUGCAUGCGAAGCAAAUGUUUAUUCACUGCGAUUACUGGAGACACCGCACCUCAUGCUAUCCUGCAUAGCCUCUCUGGUAGGAUUUGAAUGUUAUGUUUGUGCAUGGUCGGUAUAAUGUUGUAUAAUUAUGUAAUAAUGCGGACCUCUCCGCAAAAUAUAUUGAAACUCUUAGCCAUCCAUAAAUACAUUUUUUUAAUGAAGAUCACUGGGAACCAAGCAAUGGACAAUUUAUAGUCCAACCAACCUCGUGAACUCCUGUGAUUUAGAAAAGUGUUUUCUGUCAUGAACCGCAAAGAUUCACCGAGAGAAGCAUGCUUGGAAUUACACGGAGAGACAGAAAGAGGAGCACAUGGACCAGAGAACGUACACUGGUUAGUGACAUCACGAUGAGUGUUCACAACGUGUACAGGUUAGUGACAUCACGUUAAGUGUUCAUCACGUACACAGGUUAGUGACAUCAUGUUGAGUGUUCACAACGUGCACAGGUUAGUGACAUCACGUUGAGUGUUCAUCACGUGCACAGGUUAGUGACAUCACGUUGAGUGUUCACAACGUGCACAGGUUAGUGACAUCACGUUGAGUGUUCACAACGUGCACAGGUUAGAGACAUCACGUUGAGUGUUCACAACGUGUACAGGUUAGUGAUAUCACGUUGAGUGUUCACAACGUGCACAGGUUAGUGAUAUCACGUUGAGUGUUCACAACGUGCACAGGUUAGUGACAUCACGUUGAGUGUUCACAACGUGCACAGGUUAGUGAUAUCACGUUGAGUGUUCACAACGUGUACAGGUUAGUGACAUCACGUUGAGUGUUCACAACGUGCACAGGUUAGUGAUAUCACGUUGAGUGUUCACAACGUGCACAGGUUAGUGACAUCACGUUGAGUGUUCACAACGUGCACAGGUUAGUGACAUCACGUUGAGUGUUCACAACGUGUACAGGUUAGUGACAUCACGUUGAGUGUUCACAACGCGCACAGGUUAGUGACAUCAUGUUGAGUGUUCACAACGUGCACUGGUUAGUGACAUCACGUUGAGUGUUCACAACGUGUACAGGUUAGUGAUAUCACGUUGAGUGUUCACAACGUGCACAGGUUAGUGACAUCACGUUGUGUGUUAACAGCGUGCACAGGUUAAUGACAUCACGUUGAGUGUUCACAACGUGCACAGGUUAGUGACAUCACGUUGAGUGUUCACAACGUGCACAGGUUAGUGACAUCACGUUGUGUGUUCACAACGUACACAGGUUAGUGACAUCACGUUGAGUGUUCACAACGUGCACAGGUUAGUUACAUCACGUUGAGUGUUCACAACGUGCACAGGUUAGUGACAUCACGUUGAGUGUUCACAACGUGCACAGGUUAGUGACAUCACGUUGAGUGUUCACAACGUGCACAGGUUAGUGACAUCACGUUGAGUGUUCAUCACGUGCACAGGUUAGUGACAUCACGUUGAGUGUUCACAACGUGCACAGGUUAGUGACAUCACGUUGAGUGUUCACAACGUGCAAAGGUUAGUGACAUCACGUUGAGUGUUCGUCACGUGCACAGGUUAGUGACAUCACGUUGAGUGUUCACAACGUGCACAGGUUAGUGAUAUCACGUUGAGUGUUCGUCACGUGCACAGGUUAGUGACAUCACGUUGAGUGUUCACAACGUGCACAGGUUAGUGACAUCACGUUGAGUGUUCACAACGUGCACAGGUUAGUGACAUCACGUUGAGUGUUUACAACGGUGAGUGGGCACGGGGAGGAUGUGUCACCCCUAAAAGGAUAAUAGCCAAUGGUCGAGACUCGUAAAGGAGUGGCAGUUAAAGGAGGUUAACCGGACAAACGACGUGGAAAUGGAGUGAUGAUGGAGUGAUGUGCUCAUGUGCUGGAGCUCGAUUCAUUUUUGCAUCACAGGAUCAUCAGGGAGGGUGUCCAUUUCAGCCGGCCUUCAUGCUGAAGUGGUUCGAUCAUGGCUCAUGAUGAUUCCAUUUUUUUUAUUUUCGUUCCCAAGAAAUGCUUUUAAAUAUCACCUCUGCUGUGCAUAUGUGAGGCUGAGAGAGGGCACCAGACAAUGGUUGUUCACAUUUUUUAUGUUUUAAAUGUUAGGGCCACAUCAUGACUCGUGACACAUUGCUGGAAAUUGCCUGUCAUUUCAAACAACACUGAAAAUUUCCAUGAGUGCAGUGGAUAGACACCACAUCAAAAUCCAGGUGUGGUGUGUGCUUGUAAUCGAGCGGUUUGGAGGCAAGGAUCGGUGGAUCAGAAAUAGAUGGAACAACAAGUGGGUAUUUUAACCCACCGUGUUUGACUUAUGAGUAUAAUUCCUCAUAUGGCCAUGGGUCUUCUCCGGCUACUUGUGGUUUUACUCCACAUGCCAAAAGUACCGUCGAAAAGGAAUUGGCCAUAAACUGAUGAAGCUCCGCUGACUCAGAUAUGAGCAGCCAGCUUGGACUUGGUUCCGACAUCCGAACGUGAUGCCCACUCUAACACGGCAGCUGAUACGAUUGCGACGCCCCAUCUCUGCAGGGUUACGAUUGAACCACGUUGUUGUUGUUGUUGCCGCGAGAGGUGUAACAUGCACGGAUUUUAUUUUCAUAUCAAUUUUUAACUUGACGAUGCUUGCAUCGAAUGACCUGCGUCAGAAUCGAUUUUUCCCACCUUCAAGAUACACGUAUGUAAACAAAAGUAGAAGUGAUUUCCUCCUCACGUGACCGUUGAGGCUCAUCUCCUGUUUACUGCCCCGAGCCAGUGGUGGAUAUUCCUCAUUGCUAUGGCGGGGGCGAGUCUAUUAAUAGAACAACAACUGUUCAUUUCCCUAAUUUUAUCCUCCCUACAGAGAUGAUGGGCUGAGUCAACCCCCAACAAGGAUUUGAACUCCCAACCUUCCAAUGGCGAGCCACUCGCGCCACCGAUGAGCCAGCCACGUUGCGUGUCGUGAGUUCCUGCGACCGCUGUAAUCACGGAUCACUGCACUGUGAACGAGCUGUCAUCCCGGAUGAUAAGGCAUUCGCUAAUGAUUCCACAGUCGCUCAUGACAUGCUCAUAUUAAGCAUCGUACUGUGCCGCAUUUCUAACGUGAAUAUUGGGGACAGGCGAGACCCAGGAGGGGAGUAAACAAGAGGAGGUUGCGUGUGUGAGGGAAUGAGAAUAGUCCGUCUCUUACACGGCACGCUGAACACAGUGGGAUCAAUUACUCGGUGUCUCUGUCAAAAUGUUACAGCGGAGGAGAGAGGGAAAUAACCGUACUGCAACGUAAAUAGAAUCCCGUGCAGGGUAUGGGGAGAGAAAUCAUCACGCGUGGAGGGGAGGAGGAGGAGGAGGCCUGAGCUUGGACUUGAACUGGGCGGUUGCAAGGCAGCAACAUCAGCAGUGAGGAUGAGCAAUGGGACCAUAGUUCGGUAGAUAAAGGCGCCGCCUUGCCUUGAGGCGAUUGGAGAUGUGAGGGCCCAGCUCGGUGGAGUGAGUGAGUGGAGGCCACACGAGAAGGGGCAGAGCGAGAUGAGAUUUGCAGGCAGACACGGUUUAAGCCCGUGCUGGUUUCGAAAAGUGUGUGAAAAUGCAUUGCAAUAAUCUCUGAAGAGAUUGUUCCUCUAAAGGCACCUAGUUCUAAAUGAAUAGUUUUCUGUAGUACGCCGAUAUAAAUAACUUAAUAUUAUGGAGUCGGUGCGUAAUUACGUUUCUACGGUUUUAUGAAGCAAUUUCCUUUCCCAAUGGCGUAUUAAAAAGCCAUGUCAAAUGUGUUUAGUCUCGCAUUCAUUAAACCGCGCUUUAAUAAACAACAUCGCCCCCAACAGUAUUACAGUAGCAUACAAA